GGGAGUGUGGCUCAUUGGUAGAGUGCUUGCCUAGUAUGCAUGAAGCCCUGAGUUCGAUUCCUCACUACCA
rnacentral:tRNA from 1 species